UACGUAGGGCGCAAGCGUUGUCCGGAAUUAUUGGGCGUAAAGAGCUCGUAGGCGGCCAGUUGCGUCUGCUGUGAAAUCCCGGGGCUCAACCCCGGGCGUGCAGUGGAUACGGGCUGGCUAGAGGCAGGCAGGGGAGAACGGAAUUCCCGGUGUAGCGGUGAAGUGCGCAGAUAUCGGGAGGAACACCGGUGGCGAAGGCGGUUCUCUGGGCCUGUACUGACGCUGAGGAGCGAAAGCGUGGGGAGCGAACAGG
rnacentral:rRNA from 1 species